rnacentral:rRNA from 1 species
AGAGUUUGAUCAUGGCUCAGAUUGAACGCUGGCGGCAGGCUUAACACAUGCAAGUCGAGCGGGGAAAUGUAGCUUGCUACAUUACCUAGCGGCGGACGGGUGAGUAAUGCUUAGGAAUCUGCCUAUUAGUGGGGGACAACAUUUCGAAAGGAAUGCUAAUACCGCAUACGCCCUACGGGGGAAAGCAGGGGAUCUUCGGACCUUGCGCUAAUAGAUGAGCCUAAGUCGGAUUAGCUAGUUGGUGGGGUAAAGGCCUACCAAGGCGACGAUCUGUAGCGGGUCUGAGAGGAUGAUCCGCCACACUGGGACUGAGACACGGCCCAGACUCCUACGGGAGGCAGCAGUGGGGAAUAUUGGACAAUGGGGGGAACCCUGAUCCAGCCAUGCCGCGUGUGUGAAGAAGGCCUUUUGGUUGUAAAGCACUUUAAGCGAGGAGGAGGCUACCUAGAUUAAUACUCUGGGAUAGUGGACGUUACUCGCAGAAUAAGCACCGGCUAACUCUGUGCCAGCAGCCGCGGUAAUACAGAGGGUGCAAGCGUUAAUCGGAUUUACUGGGCGUAAAGCGUGCGUAGGUGGCCAAUUAAGUCAAAUGUGAAAUCCCCGAGCUUAACUUGGGAAUUGCAUUCGAUACUGGUUGGCUAGAGUAUGGGAGAGGAUGGUAGAAUUCCAGGUGUAGCGGUGAAAUGCGUAGAGAUCUGGAGGAAUACCGAUGGCGAAGGCAGCCAUCUGGCCUAAUACUGACACUGAGGUACGAAAGCAUGGGGAGCAAACAGGAUUAGAUACCCUGGUAGUCCAUGCCGUAAACGAUGUCUACUAGCCGUUGGGGUCUUUGAGACUUUAGUGGCGCAGCUAACGCGAUAAGUAGACCGCCUGGGGAGUACGGUCGCAAGACUAAAACUCAAAUGAAUUGACGGGGGCCCGCACAAGCGGUGGAGCAUGUGGUUUAUUCGAUGCACGCGAGACCUUACCUGGUCUUGACAUAGUAAGAACUUUCCAGGAGAUGGAUUGGUGCCUUCGGGAACUUAAAAAACAGGUGCUGCAUGGCUGUC